AGUGCGAUCGGUGGAUGCCUUGGCACCAAGAGCCGAUGAAGGACGUUGUAACCUGCGAUAAGCCCUGGGGAGUUGGUAAACGAGCUGUGAUCCGGGGGUGUCCGAAUGGGGAAACCUGGAAUGUCCGGAGUAGUGUCCGGUGACCCUGCCCUGAAUGUAUAGGGGUGUGGGAGGUAACGCGGGGAAGUGAAACAUCUUAGUACCCGUAGGAAGAGAAAACAACCGUGAUUCCGUGAGUAGUGGCGAGCGAAAGUGGAUGAGGCUAAACCGUGUGUGUGUUCAAGCCGGCAGGUGUUGCAUGUGCGGGGUUGUGGGGGCCUUUGGGUUCUGCUGCCGCAGGAUUGGCCAGUGAUAAAUGUUGCGUGAAGGUGAAGCGUCUGGGAAGGCGUACCGGAGUGGGUGAGAGUCCCGUAACUGUAAGCGUGGCACUGGUGAGGGUUACCCCAAGUAGCGUGGAACUCGUGGAAUUUCGCGUGAAUCUGGCGGGACCACCCGUCAAGCCUAAAUACUCCUUGGUGACCGAUAGUGGAUCAGUACCGUGAGGGAAUGGUGAAAAGUACCCCGGGAGGGGAGUGAAAUAGUACCUGAAACCGGUCGCAUACAAGCCGUCAGAGCCUUGUGGGGUGAUGGCGUGCCUUUUGAAGAAUGAGCCUGCGAGUUAGUGAUGCGUGGCGAGGUUAACCUGUGUGGGGGAGUCGUAGCGAAAGCGAGUCCGAUAAGGGCGUGAGUCGCGUGUUCUAGACCCGAAGCGGUGUGAUCUAUCCAUGGCCAGGAUGAAGCGUCGGUAAGACGUCGUGGAGGUCCGAACCCACUUCAGUUGAAAAUGGAGGGGAUGAGCUGUGGAUAGGGGUGAAAGGCCAAUCAAACACCGUGAUAGCUGGUUCUCCCCGAAAUGCAUUUAGGUGCAGCGUUGCGUGGUUCUUGUCGGAGGUAGAGCACUGGAUGGUCUAGGGGGCCUAUCAGCUUACCGAAAUCAGCCAAACUCCGAAUGCCGGCAAGUGGAGCGUAGCAGUGAGACGGCGGGGGAUAAGCUUCGUCGUCGAGAGGGAAACAGCCCAGAUCAUCAGCUAAGGCCCCUAAGUGGUAACUCAGUGGAAAAGGAUGUGGAGUUGCGCAGACAGCCAGGAGGUUGGCUUGGAAGCAGCCAUCCUUGAAAGAGUGCGUAAUAGCUCACUGGUCAAGUGAUUCCGCGCCGACAAUGUAGCGGGGCUUAAGUUAUCCGCCGAAGCUGUGGCAAGCCCGUGAGGGUUUGGGUAGGGGAGCGUCCUGUGCGAGGUGAAGCUGCCGGGUGACCGUGUGGUGGAUUGUGCGGGAGUGAGAAUGCAGGCAUGAGUAGCGAAUGACGGGUGGAAAACCCGUCCGCCGAUUAUCCAAGGGUUCCAGGGUCAAGUUAAUCUGCCCUGGGUGAGUCGGGACCUAAGGCGAGGCCGACAGGCGUAGUCGAUGGAUAACCAGUUGAUAUUCUGGUACCGGCUUGUCACCGUCCGUGUCGAGGUGUGUGAUGCUAAGCGUGCGAGCCUGCCUCCGCGACAUCGUUGAUGUGGUGGUGGUGUGGUGAGUGUGUGAACCGAUCAUGUAGUAGGCAAGCUGCGGAGGGACGCAGGGAGGUAGCUCAUCCCCGGCGAUGGUUGUCCGGGGCUAAAUGUGUGGACCGUCUGGUAGGUAAAUCCGCCAGGGUUGUGGUUGAGGCAUGAUGGCGAGCCCACAGGAAGUGGGUGAGUGAGUGAUCCUGUACUGUCGAGAAAAUCUUCGUGAGCGAGGUGGCUGGUCCGCCCGUACCCUAAACCGACACUGGUGGAUAGGUAGAGUAUACCGAGGCGAUCGAGAUCAUCAUGGUGAAGGAACUCGGCAAAAUGCCCCCGUAACUUCGGGAUAAGGGGGACCUGAACUGUCAAGGCUUUUACAGUUGGUAGCGGUGAGGGGCGCAGAGACCAGGGGGAAACGACUGUUUACCAAAAACACAGGUCCGUGCGAAGUCGUAAGACGAUGUAUACGGACUGACUCCUGCCCGGUGCUGGAAGGUUAAGGGGAACUGUUAGCGUUGGCGAAGCGGUGAACUUAAGCCCCAGUAAACGGCGGUGGUAACUAUAACCAUCCUAAGGUAGCGAAAUUCCUUGUCGGGUAAGUUCCGACCUGCACGAAUGGAGUAACGAUUUCCCUACUGUCUCCACCAUGAACUCGGUGAAAUUGCAUUACGAGUAAAGAUGCUCGUUACGCGCAGCAGGACGGAAAGACCCCGGGACCUUUACUAUAGUUUGGUAUUGGUGAUUGGGACGACUUGUGUAGGAUAGGUGGGAGACUGUGAAACGGCCACGCCAGUGGUUGUGGAGUCAUUGUUGAAAUACCACUCUGGUCGUUCUGGUUAUCUAACUUUGGGCCGUGAUCCGGUUCAGGGACAGUGCCUGAUGGGUAGUUUGACUGGGGCGGUCGCCUCCUAAAAGGUAACGGAGGCGCCCAAAGGUUCCC
rnacentral:rRNA from 1 species